UCACCACAGUGACUUGCAAGCAACUCACUGUACUUUAGUAUCAGACUAUCUGAAUUUUUAAUUCGAUGAUGAAAAAUUUUUAGGUGCAGUCAAGUACUCGUCAAAUCGAUGCAUGAGUCAAGAUGGAAUUGAUCCCUCCAAACUAGUAGGAGUUAAUAUAUCAAUGUAUUUCAAUUUAGCAAAAUUUAGGCUCAGAUAAUCUAUGUGAUGGAUUUGAA
rnacentral:lncRNA from 1 species